CUAAACCCUUGUUGGACAUAGAUGUCUGAGCAAAGCAGGAGACAGGACAGAACUACACUUACAGCGUUUCUAAAUAAACUGACCGUUGUAUGAUGAAAUUAACCAAGAUAAAACCCAACUGGCUCUUUAUGCUGAUUCUGGUAUUUCACACCAUACCUGUACAAGCAGAAGCUUCUCGUGAUGAUGAAAUGAGGAUCCUGAUAGUGGGAAUCAGAGGUCAGUCCAGAUUUAGUGCUGCAGAUCUUCUGUCAGGAAGGGAAGACGGUGGACAGGUGGACAGAGAGAUUGUAAAGACUCCAGUAAUUACAGACGAGGGUCGUAGA